rnacentral:misc_RNA from 1 species
GAUGAAGAACGUAGUGAAAUGCGAUAAGUAGUGUGAAUUGCAGAAUUCAGUGGAUCAUCGAAUCUUUGAACGCACAUUGCGCCCCUUGGUAUUCCAAGGGGCAUGCCUGUUCGAGCGUCAUUUGUACCUUCAAGCUUUGCUUGGUGUUGGGUGCUUGUCUUUUUGUUAAGACUCACCUCAAAGUCAUUGGCAGCCAGUGUUUUGGUAGUAAGCGCAGCACAUUUUGCGUCUUGGUCCCUUAACAGCAGCAUCCAUCAAGCCAUUUUCUCACUUUUGACCUCGGAUCAGGUAGGGAUACCCGCUGAACUUAAGCAUAUCAAUAAGCGGAGGA